UACGUAGGUGGCAAGCGUUGUCCGGAUUUACUGGGCGUAAAGCGCGUGUAGGCGGCUCGUUAAGUCUGUCGUGAAAUAUCCCGGCUCAACCGGGAGGGGUCGACGGAAACUGGCGGGCUUGAGGGGAGCAGAGGAAGGUGGAAUUCCCGGUGGAGUGGUGAAAUGCGUAGAUAUCGGGAGGAACACCAGUGGCGAAGGCGGCCUUCUGGGCUCUACCUGACGCUGAGACGCGAAAGCGUGGGGAGCGAACCGG
rnacentral:rRNA from 1 species